UGUAGAGGGGGGUAGAAUUCCAGGUGUAGCGGUGAAAUGCGUAGAGAUCUGGAGGAAUACCGGUGGCGAAGGCGGCCCCCUGGACAAAGACUGACGCUCAGGUGCGAAAGCGUGGGGAGCAAACAGGAUUAGAUACCCUGGUAGUCCACGCCGUAAACGAUGUCUACUUGGAGGUUGUGCCCUUGAGGCGUGGCUUCCGGAGCUAACGCGUUAAGUAGACCGCCUGGGGAGUACGGCCGCAAGGUUAAAACUCAAAUGAAUUGACGGGGGCCCGCACAAGCGGUGGAGCAUGUGGUUUAAUUCGAUGCAACGCGAAGAACCUUACCUGGUCUUGACAUCCACGGAAGUUUUCAGAGAUGAGAAUGUGCCUUCGGGAACCGUGAGACAGGUGCUGCAUGGCUGUCGUCAGCUCGUGUUGUGAAAUGUUGGGUUAAGUCCCGCAACGAGCGCAACCCUUAUCCUUUGUUGCCAGCGGUCCGGCCGGGAACUCAAAGGAGACUGCCAGUGAUAAACUGGAGGAAGGUGGGGAUGACGUCAAGUCAUCAUGGCCCUUACGACCAGGGCUACACACGUGCUACAAUGGCGCAUACAAAGAGAAGCGACCUCGCGAGAGCAAGCGGACCUCAUAAAGUGCGUCGUAGUCCGGAUUGGAGUCUGCAACUCGACUCCAUGAAGUCGGAAUCGCUAGUAAUCGUGGAUCAGAAUGCCACGGUGAAUACGUUCCCGGGCCUUGUACACACCGCCCGUCACACCAUGGGAGUGGGUUGCAAAAGAAGUAGGUAGCUUAACCUUCGGGAGGGCGCUUACCACUUUGUGAUUCAUGACUGGGGUGAAGUCGUAACAAGGUAACCGUAGGGGAACCUGCGGUUGGAUCACCUCCUUACCUUAAAGAAGC
rnacentral:rRNA from 1 species